CGGUGGAGCAUGUGGUUAAUUCGAAGCAACGCGAAGAACCUUACCAGGCCUUGACAUGCAGAGAACUUUCCAGAGAUGGAUUGGUGCCUUCGGGAACUCUGACACAGGUGCUGCAUGGCUGUCGUCAGCUCGCGUCGUGAGAUGUUGGGUUAAGUCCCGUAACGAGCGCAACCCUUGUCCUUAGUUACCAGCACGUUAUGGUGGGCACUCUAAGGAGACUGCCGGUGACAAACCGGAGGAAGGUGGGGAUGACGUCAAGUCAUCAUGGCCCUUACGGCCUGGGCUACACACGUGCUACAAUGGUCGGUACAAAGGGUUGCCAAGCCGCGAGGUGGAGCUAAUCCCAUAAAACCGAUCGUAGUCCGGAUCGCAGUCUGCAACUCGACUGCGUGAAGUCGGAAUCGCUAGUAAUCGUGAAUCAGAAUGUCACGGUGAAUACGUUCCCGGGCCUU
rnacentral:rRNA from 1 species